CAGUAGCCACGGUAAUACAGAGGAUGCAAGCGAUAUCCGGGAUGAUUGGGCGUAAAGCGUCUGUAGGUGGCUUUUCAAGUCCGCCGUCAAAUCCCAGGGCUCAACCCUGGACAGGCGGUGGAGACUACCAAGCUGGAGUACGGUAGGGGCAGAGGGAAUUUCCGGUGGAGCGGUGAGAUGCGUUGAGAUCGGAAAGAACACCAACGGCGAAAGCACUCUGCUGGGCCGACACUGACACUGAGAGACGAAAGCUAGGGGAGCAAAUGGGAUUAGAGACCCCAGUAGUCCCUGUCUCUUAUAC
rnacentral:rRNA from 1 species